rnacentral:rRNA from 1 species
CAUGGGGACAACAGCUGGAAACGGCUGCUAAUACCGAGUAAGCUCCAAUGACCGCAUGGUAAUUGGAGGAAAGAUGGCCUCUGCAUAUGCUAUCGGGAAAGGAUGGACCCGCGUCUGAUUAGAUAGUUGGUGAGGUAACGGCUCACCAAGUCGACGAUCAGUAGCCGGCCUGAGAGGGUGGCCGGCCACAUUGGGACUGAGACACGGCCCAG